GCAGGGUUAGGUUAAAUUAAUAGACCAUUUGUCUUCAAAACAAGGAGUUUGAAUCUGUU
rnacentral:tRNA from 1 species